rnacentral:lncRNA from 1 species
GAGAGAGAGGAAGAAACGGCCAUUACUGUGAUAGUGUGAGCCGGGGUAAGCUUGGUGCUACCUCUUUUCUUUUGUUGUUAUGUUCUUUGAAAUAAGAGUAUUGAGAGUUUCUAAAUAUUGUAAAGUGAAUCAUAGAAUGAAAGUGUGAUUGAAAUUAUAUGUUAUUGAAUGAGAAGAAGAGAGAUUGAAUGUUGAAAUGUGAAUGUAGUUCAGGAGAAAGAGUGAAUCUGUGGUUGUGUGAAACACUGUAAUGUGAAUGGUAGUUCUGUGUGAAGAAUU